rnacentral:rRNA from 1 species
GACGAACGCUGGCGGCGUGCUUAACACAUGCAAGUCGAACGAUGAACUGGAGCUUGCUCCAGGGAUUAGUGGCGAACGGGUGAGUAACACGUGAGUAACCUGCCCUUGACUCUGGGAUAAGCGCUAGAAAUGGCGUCUAAUACCGGAUACGAGCUUCAGCCGCAUGGCUAGGAGUUGGAAAGAAUUUUGGUCAAGGAUGGACUCGCGGCCUAUCAGCUAGUUGGUGAGGUAAUGGCUCACCAAGGCGACGACGGGUAGCCGGCCUGAGAGGGUGACCGGCCACACUGGGACUGAGACACGGCCCAGACUCCUACGGGAGGCAGCAGUGGGGAAUAUUGCACAAUGGGCGAAAGCCUGAUGCAGCAACGCCGCGUGAGGGAUGACGGCCUUCGGGUUGUAAACCUCUUUUAGUAGGGAAGAAGCGAAAGUGACGGUACCUGCAGAAAAAGCACCGGCUAACUACGUGCCAGCAGCCGCGGUAAUACGUAGGGUGCAAGCGUUGUCCGGAAUUAUUGGGCGUAAAGAGCUCGUAGGCGGUUUGUCGCGUCUGCUGUGAAAUCUGGGGGCUCAACCCCCAGCCUGCAGUGGGUACGGGCAGACUAGAGUGCGGUAGGGGAGAUUGGAAUUCCUGGUGUAGCGGUGGAAUGCGCAGAUAUCAGGAGGAACACCGAUGGCGAAGGCAGAUCUCUGGGCCGUAACUGACGCUGAGGAGCGAAAGCAUGGGGAGCGAACAGGAUUAGAUACCCUGGUAGUCCAUGCCGUAAACGUUGGGAACUAGAUGUGGGGGCCAUUCCACGGUCUCCGUGUCGCAGCUAACGCAUUAAGUUCCCCGCCUGGGGAGUACGGCCGCAAGGCUAAAACUCAAAGGAAUUGACGGGGGCCCGCACAAGCGGCGGAGCAUGCGGAUUAAUUCGAUGCAACGCGAAGAACCUUACCAAGGCUUGACAUAUACCGGAAACGUCCAGAGAUGGUCGCCCCGCAAGGUCGGUAUACAGGUGGUGCAUGGUUGUCGUCAGCUCGUGUCGUGAGAUGUUGGGUUAAGUCCCGCAACGAGCGCAACCCUCGUUCUAUGUUGCCAGCACGUUAUGGUGGGAACUCAU